CCUUUCUCCUAGGGGGUGAUUUCAGGCUUCCCAAGCAGCCUCCUUCUCCUGCCAAUUUUCUGUUUUUAUAAGCCCAGCCCAGCUGGGCUCCCUCCCACAGUCAGGAGAUUUCUUAGCCACCUAAAUCCUCUCAGCUGUAGCCUGUGGGAUUAAUUAUCCUCUUCUCAAUCUGCCUUCACUCUUUCAGGGCAAGUGUGGGAUGAAUGCCCCCUCACAUUCUCAUUUUUCUUUCCUUUACAUCUUCCAAUUUUAGUCACCAAAGGGUUUAACAAGUGCUUUAAAUACUGUAAACACUCCUCUUCCUUGCCUAGCUCAUCUGGAGCACUGGGUGAUGUUAAACCUUCUGUUCCCAACCCAAUCGCUCCUCUUCCUUGCCCAGCUCAUCUCUAUCCCAUUGCUCUAACAGAUCAUGAAUCUGCAGAGCCUGAAGAGGAAGAAAAACAGUUCCACCGAGACAAUAGACUGCAACAUUCAUUGAGGAAGGUGAUGAUUCUUGCUAAGAAGGUCUCUUCUAUAUAGGGUUGAUGAAGUACAUUGAAAAUGAGAUUACACCUGAAGACCAUUUGGAAACAUCAAGGGAAGAAUUUACCCACCCACAUAAUACUGCACUUUACAUGAGCUGCAACCUUGACUGGUUUAGAAGGCAAAAAAAGCAGACUGGGGAAGACAUGUUCUGUGAUUUGAUGCAUUCCUCUGAGACUGGCAGGGCCCAGUGAAUGCAUGGAGGCUUACACUGUCAGAGAGCAUGCUCACCAACCAAGAGGGCAGGAAAGCAUGCAGGGAUCAAGAGCGUAACACGCAAAAGGAGAUGUUGCAGCUUAUGGGGGAGCAAACAGACAUAUUGAGGUGUCUGGUUGAGGUGCAGGAAAGUCAGCUAGACCUUAGAGUCCCGCUGCACCCAAUAAUGAACCAGCUGCCCUCAUCACCAAGUAUAUCCACCUGUCCCAGACAUCCUAGAAUGUGGGGCAAGGGGGGUGGAGGGAAGGAAGCUCUGUUAUCCCUUGAACUCAAUUCCAGGGGAUGGUUCAUCGAGCAGAAGGCUCUCAUUCCCACAGCUUUGAAUGCUAGACAGUGCAAUUGUAGUAAGCUACAUGUCUUUGCCCCUCUUCCCCCCCGCCCCUGAUGUUAUCAGGCCCUUACACCUGGGUUAUCUUUGCUAUUCAUUGCUGUCUCUGUUCAGUG